UGUGGGAAUAUUGCACAAUGGGCGAGAGCCUGAUGCAGCAACGCCGCGUGAGCGAUGAAGGUCUUCGGAGGGUAAAGCUCUGUCCUCAAGGACGAAUUUUGACAGGUACUUGAGGAGGAAGCACCGGCUAACUCCGUGCCAGCAGCCGCGGUAUAAA
rnacentral:rRNA from 1 species